GAGGAAGAUUGGCAACAGAUGUUAGUUCAGGUGCCAAUCUUUAAAAAAAAAAAAAACAUCAUUUUAAGUUUAAGGGUUUAUCUGUACCCACCAGGAUUUAUUAUAAUUUUGCUUUCCUGGUUCUUCUGGAAGUAAAUGUGGAAACAAUCUUUUCAAAAUCUCCUUUUUGGCUUCUCUCAUUUUCUGCUGAGAAUGCUGCCAUGUGUGACAAUUUCUGUUGAUCAAGUUAUGAUUUUAAAUAACUGUUAACUAACUUCAGUCUACUGAUGUUAUCAUUAUUUAGAUUUUUGAUAUUGUCCUUAUCAUAGAUGUUUUUCAUUCAUUUUGAUUUUUUUUUAAAUAGUGCAGUAAAGUGUUAUCUCACUUACUGAAAUUUUGGGCAUCAUUUUAAGUUUUGCAUCUGAGGCGAGUGCCUCACUCUCCUCACCCAAACCCUGGCCCUUCUGGGGAGGUAGGUGCUGAGAGGCCAGAAGAUACAGGGCUCAAGGAUGAGGAGUUUGAGCUUCAUUUUCUAGGUCAGGAUUCAGUAAACUACGUAAAGCCCCUGGGUGAAAUGUGGCCCAGUGCCUGUGUUUGUAAAUAAAGUUUUAUUAGAACACAGGCAUGCUCAUUCGUUUACAUAUGGUCUAAGGCUGCUUUCACACUGCAAAUCAGAGUUGAAUGACUCCAACAGAGACUGCAAGGCCCACAAUCCAAAAAUAUUUACUAUCUGGCUCUUGAUAGAAAACUUUUGCCGGCAACUGCUCUAGAUGGUGGGGGCAAACAGAUGUUCAAAUGCAGAAGAACUGGACCAUGAUGCCUUUUAGAUGAUCGAUCUAUGUAGGGAAAGGGAGGUGAGAGGCAGGGAGAUGAGGGGUCCAGGAAAGAGAUUCUGAAACCUUGGCAAUGAUGGAGAUUGAGAUGGAGAAAGGCAAACUGAUGCUAGCUGUUCAUAGGAGGAAAAAUGGACAAGAUGUGGUGAAUUUUUGGCUAUAGCAGAAGAAAGGGAGGAUAGAGAGAGGGUGACUCCUCCACGCCUGGCCCAAAAGAAAGAGGAGGGUCCGUCAUGCUGUCAGAAAUAUGGGGAUCCAACUUGAAGGGAAGAAUAGGAGGAGGAGGUGAGGAGAACAACUUUGGCCAUGCUAAGUGGGGCAAUCCAGAAAGCCAGCCUGGCGGAGGUGUCCAGGUAAGAUGCUGGAUGGGGAGGCGCCCAAGUCACUCACCUGAGAGACUAACCCUGUGACGGCAUUUUCACCCUCCAUGCUUGUGUCCCCCAAGCCUGCUGCUGACCUUGUUGCUUCCUUCCUGCAGGGCCUCACUCUGAGUGAAGAGAUCGGAGAACCUUUCAGUCCAACCAGCUCAGGGUGCAGUGGGCAGACUGACCCGCUCCUCUGUUCUCUCUGAAGGGGCUGGAGUGAGUCACUGAGGUGGGAGGGGGUGGUCCUCUCCCAGAGACCCCAGGGUUGUGAACACAGGCUCCCUAUCCUGGACAGUGGGGCAGAGGUUUGUGACAGACUCACUCAGGUGCCAGGGACCUCCUUCCUGCCCCCGCUUCAGGCUCUUGACCCACCCAGUCCCUCCAGCUCUGGGUUCAGAGAUCUGUGGCUGCCUGUGCUUCCCACCCCAGGGCUCUCCCUCCCUCCCCAGGGUCACUGCUCACAUGAUGAUGAUGAUGCAGAAGGACAGGAAGAGCAGGGCUGCAGCACCUGCUCCCCCAAAUUCUCCUUGUUCCUCCAGAGCAUGGCAAGGUCUUCUGGCCUCCAAACCUUUGCCCAAAUGGUCUCCGUUCCCAGGAUUUGGAUGUGCAGGAGACACUGAGCAAGGAAGCCAGACUGGAGGUUGGUUGUUCACCCUGAGGGAUGGUGAGGAUUUCGUGAGAGAUGAGACACGCACCUGAAUUCACAGAAAGCUAUUUUGAAGUGUGUGGCUGAGGGCUGGGAGGAAGUGGUGGGAAUCCUGGGAGAUGGUGCCUCCUCAGACUGAUGCCAACUUCUUGAAACUUUUUGGGGGAAACACAACACAAAUACAGAGAAGUGCCCCCACAAGAACAGCUCAGUGAUUUAUCACACAAUGAACACCCUCCAAGAAAUAGAAUGUCAGGAACACCCAGGUCCUCCCCCUUGAUCCCCCUCCCUAUGCCCACACCCCACUCCCUCCAAGGAGCCCCAGCCUCACUAUAAUGCCAACUGAUUCCUUGCUUUUCUCUGUGGUUUUAUCAUCUGAGCAUGCUGCCUUUACUCACCCAAAUACUGGAGUAGAAGCAAUGUGUGAUCAUAGAGAAGGAAAGUGCCAGCUUUGAGCAUCUAUAGGUACUCUCAUGCCAUCACCAAUUCCUAUAUUUUCAGCUGGAAUCUCAUCCUACAGCCCCAUCCCCACCUGGGCCCCCCCUGUCCUGGCCACUCUCUCUCUCCCAGCAGGGGCAGCUGCAGCAUCUGUGGUCAGAGGGCUAGGCCAGGCUUAGUCUGUUUUCCAUGGUCCCCAAUUUACAAAGAAAAGCAAAAGAAUGGGAAGGAGAGACAUGAGGAAGCCACAGAGAAACCAGUUGUGUGUAAAAGAGGAACUAUGACCAAUAGGCCAAUAGAGCUGGGGGGGCCUUGUAUUUCCACUUCUCCAAUUUGCAGAAGACACCGAGGUCCAGAGUGCGCAAAGGAAUUGUCCAAAUCGCAUGGUUGCCCCGUCUCAUGCACCAUUGUCUGCACUGGGAACCACUUCAACAAUCUUGGUCUGCCCAGGAUUCAUUGAGCUGGGAGACAGGAAGCACAUGUUAAUGAGAGAAGAGGACUGUCAACUCUCUCCGUGAGUUGAGAGAGGAAACUUCAUUCAUUCAUUCAUUCAUUCAACAAUCAUGUACACUGUGCCUUCAGGUCUCCAGUAAAGGGAUGAAUAUGAGAGAUCUAGACCUUGCCUUCGAGGAGAGCAACGUCUGGCUGGGAGAGUGGUUACCUGACAAUUCCGUGCAUAGGGAAUGCCCUAUGGACAAGGCCAAGUUGUCGUCACCAAUCCAAGGGCAGGAAAGGCGAAGGAUCUGUGUGGCCCCUUUAAAUAUCUGUUCCUAUUUCAUUAUCUCAACAUCCCUGACAAAGAGGGGUAACCUUCCUCAUGGGAUAGAGGAAGCAGCCAACACUCAGGCAGUGAUUUGAAGCCUUCAGUGAAGAAACCUGUGGAGGCUUUGCCAGGCUGGAACUACACUUCCCAGAAUCCCCUUCCCUGUUAGCUUCCAGGUUCCAGUUGGCCGCAAGAGAAUGGAGCAGUUGAAGCAGCAGCCACCAGGCUCCGAGGAUCAGUGGAGGUACAGCUGCUAUGGCAGCCUUGCACAUCAUCGCUCGUCUGUUGGCUCACCUUGCUGAUGUGACAUUACAGCUGUUCAACUGCUCUGAGGAGAGGAGUGUGUUGGGGAAAGCCACUGACUGGAGUUCAGGGGGCAAAGACCGUCAAGCCUUUAUACCUGGAUCGGUGACCCUGUUGGACACUGGUGGCCAGACGUAGGUUUACAGUAACAUGCAAAUGAUCCAGGAAAAGAGCAUCUCCAGUAUUUCUCUCCUACUAAGACAUUGUCCCAGUACCUAUUUGACCUGACAACUAGGGCCGUUUGCCAAUCCAUAGGAGCCCCAUCUUCCCCAGGGCAAAGAGAAGAAAAUGGCCCACCUCAGUGCUCAGAAUGCCCAAUGCCAAGCUCUGUGUCUGUGUGUGUGUGCUAAACAUUGGCCUCCAAGGCCGAUGUGAUGGUUAAUCUUAUAUGUCAACUUGACUUGGCUGUGAGAUGCCCAGAUUAAAUAUUAUUAGUGGGUGUUUCCAGACAAGUUUGACAUUUAACUUGGUGAAUUCAGUAAAAUAGAUUUCCCUCCAAAAUGA